rnacentral:rRNA from 1 species
GACGAACGCUGGCGGCGUGCUUAACACAUGCAAGUCGAACGGAAAGGCCCUGCUUUUGUGGGGUGCUCGAGUGGCGAACGGGUGAGUAACACGUGAGUAACCUGCCCUUGACUUUGGGAUAACUUCAGGAAACUGGGCUAAUACCGGAUAGGAGCUCCUGCUGCAUGGUGGGGGUUGGAAAGUUUCGGCGGUUGGGGAUGGACUCGCGGCUUAUCAGCUUGUUGGUGGGGUGGUGGCUUACCAAGGCUUUGACGGGUAGCCGGCCUGAGAGGGUGACCGGCCACAUUGGGACUGAGAUACGGCCCAGACUCCUACGGGAGGCAGCAGUGGGGAAUAUUGCACAAUGGGCGGAAGCCUGAUGCAGCAACGCCGCGUGCGGGAUGACGGCCUUCGGGUUGUAAACCGCUUUCGCCUGUGACGAAGCGUGAGUGACGGUAAUGGGUAAAGAAGCACCGGCUAACUACGUG